GACGAACGCUGGCGGCGUGCUUAACACAUGCAAGUCGAACGGAAAGGCCCUGCUUUUGUGGGGUGCUCGAGUGGCGAACGGGUGAGUAACACGUGAGUAACCUGCCCUUGACUUUGGGAUAACUUCAGGAAACUGGGGCUAAUACCGGAUAGGAGCUCCUGCUGCAUGGUGGGGGUUGGAAAGUUUCGGCGGUUGGGGAUGGACUCGCGGCUUAUCAGCUUGUUGGUGGGGUAGUGGCUUACCAAGGCUUUGACGGGUAGCCGGGCUGAGAGGGUGACCGGCCACAUUGGGACUGGACUACGGCCCAGCCUCCUACGGGAGGCAGCAGUGGGGAAUAUUGCACUAUGGGCGGAAGCCUGAUGCAGCAACGCCGCGUGCGGGAUGACGGCCUUCGGGUUGUAAACCGCUUUCGCCUGUGACGAAGCGUGAGUGACGGUAAUGGGUAAAGAAGCACCGGCUAACUACGUG
rnacentral:rRNA from 1 species